rnacentral:tRNA from 1 species
GGCGACGUACCCAAGUGGUCUAAGGGGGAGGUCUGCAAAACCUCUAUUCAGCGGUUCGAAUCCGCUCGUCGCCUCCA